rnacentral:sRNA from 13 species
CAAUAGCUCUAUUUUGAAGCGAGUUAUGCGCCUUCAGAAUUGAAGGUGAGCGAAAGAGAGACGGCAGAGAAAACGACUGUCUGCUUCUCUAGCGUCUCACCUUCAACUUCAAAGGCGCAUAACUCGCUUCAAAAUGGAGCUAUUG